rnacentral:rRNA from 1 species
UACAGAGGGGGGCAAGCGUUGUUCGGAAUUACUGGGCGUAAAGGGCGCGUAGGCGGCCUUCUAAGUCGAACGUGAAAUCCCUGGGCUCAACCCAGGAACUGCGUCCGAUACUGAUAGUCUCGAGUCCGGAAGAGGUGAGUGGAAUUCCGAGUGUAGAGGUGAAAUUCGUAGAUAUUCGGAGGAACACCAGUGGCGAAGGCGGCUCACUGGUCCGGUACUGACGCUGAGGUGCGAAAGCGUGGGGAGCAAACAGG